UUUCCGUAGGUGAACCUGCGGAAGGAUCAUUAAUGAAUUUCUGAGUAGCCAAUUCAACUGGCGCUCAAACCUUCAUUUCUAACCCUGUGCACCAUUAUCAAUAAAAGGUUGCGGAACCACGGGACUGAGCGCAAGCGAUGUCUUACCCGCCUUUUUUCACUUUAAACGCUUGUAAAAGAAUGUAUUUAUAUCAAAUAACAAAGAAAAACUUUCAACAACGGAUCUCUUGGUUCUCGCAUCGAUGAAGAACGCAGC
rnacentral:misc_RNA from 1 species